UACGUAGGGAGCAAGCGUUGUCCGGAAUCGAUUGGGCGUAAAGCGCGCGUAGGCGGCCCUGUAAGUCCGUUGUGAAAGUCAAAGGCUCAACCUUUGAAAGCCGAUGGAUACUGCAGGGCUAGAGUCCGGAAGAGGCGAGUGGAAUUCCUGGUGUAGCGGUGGAAUGCGCAGAUAUCAGGAGGAACACCAAUAGCGAAGGCAGCUCGCUGGGACGGUACUGACGCUAAGGCGCGAAAGCGUGGGGAGCGAACAGG
rnacentral:rRNA from 1 species